rnacentral:rRNA from 1 species
AGCAGUAGCCGCGGUAAUACGUAGGGUGCAAGCGUUAAUCGGAAUUAUUGGGCGUAAAGCGAGUGCAGACGGUUACUUAAGCCAGGUGUGAAAUCCCCAAGCUUAACUUGGGACGUGCAUUUGAAACUGGGUGACUAGAGUGUGUCAGAGGGAGGUAGAAUUCCACAUGUAGCGGUGGAAUGCGUAGAGAUGUGGAGGAAUACCGAUGGCGAAGGCAGCCUCCUGGGAUAACACUGACGUUGAGGCUCGAAAGCGUGGGGAGCAAACAGGAUUAGAUACCCCCGUAGUCCCUGUCUCUUAUAC